rnacentral:lncRNA from 1 species
CCAUUUGAGUUGUUCACCUCCUUCAUUUUCACUUGCGACAUUUGCUUUGGAAAGCUUUACUCUACAAUUUGUCUUGAUGUGCCCGAUUAUCCCACAUCUAUAGUACUUGAUUGGGUUGUUAUUCUGUGAGCUGCCACUAGUAGCAUUUUCCUCAUUUGAGCCUUUUUCAUUAUUCUUAUUCUCUGCUGAAGUUUUCUUCUUAUUAUGCUAUCCCUUUGAGCAGAGAACAGCAACUAG